GUUUGAUAAAGCUAAAACCGGAGCGAUCCGGUGACAGAAAACUAUAGGGUCUCAAUGAGAUUGCCAGUUACCUUA
rnacentral:ncRNA from 1 species